rnacentral:rRNA from 1 species
UGGCGGCGUGCCUAACACAUGCAAGUCGAACGGGCUAUAUAAGCGGAAGUUUACGGAUGGAAGGUUAUAUACUUAGUGGCGGACGGGUGAGUAACGCGUGGGCAACCUGCCCCGUGCCGGGGGAUACCGCCUGGAAACAGGCGCUAAUACCGCAUAAGCGCAUACAGCCGCAUGGCAGUAUGCGGAAAGCUCCGGCGGCACGGGAUGGGCCCGCGCCCGAUUAGCCAGUUGGCGGGGUAACGGCCCACCAAAGCGACGAUCGGUAGCCGGCCUGAGAGGGCGGACGGCCACAUUGGGACUGAGACACGGCCCAAACUCCUACGGGAGGCAGCAGUGGGGAAUAUUGCACAAUGGGGGAAACCCUGAUGCAGCAACGCCGCGUGGGUGAAGGAGCGUUUCGGCGCGUAAAGCCCUGUCAGCGGGGAAGAAGAAAGACGGUACCCGACCAAGAAGCCCCGGCUAACUACGUGCCAGCAGCCGCGGUAAUACGUAGGGGGCGAGCGUUAUCCGGAAUUACUGGGUGUAAAGGGAGCGUAGACGGCGAGGUAAGCCUGAAGUGGAAGCCCGCGGCCCAACCGCGGAACUGCUUUGGGAACUGUUUUGCUGGAGUAUGGGAGGGGUAAGCGGAAUUCCUGGUGUACCGGUGAAAUGCGUAGAUAUCAGGAGGAACACCGGUUGGGCAAGGCGGCUUACUGGUCCCAUAACUGACCGUUGAGGCUCGAAAAGCGUGGGGAGCGAAACAGGAUUUAGAUACCCUGGUAGUCCACGCCGUAAACGAAGAUUAUCAGGUGUCGGGUGUCGAAGGACGGCCGGUGCCGCAGCGAACGCAGUAAGUAAUCCACCUGGGGAGUACGUUCGCAAGAAUGAAACUCAAAGGAAUUGACGGGGACCCGCACAAGCGGUGGAGCAUGUGGUUUAAUUCGAAGCAACGCGAAGAACCUUACCCGGCCUUGACAUCCCCUGGACAGCAUAUGUAAUGUAUGUUUCCUUCGGGACCAGGGAGACAGGUGGUGCAUGGUUGUCGUCAGCUCGUGUCGUGAGAUGUUGGUCAAGUCCCGCAACGAGCGCAACCCCUGCCCCCAGUAGCCAGCAUGGAAGAUGGGCACUCUGGGGGGACUGCCGGGGAUAACCCGGAGGAAGGCGGGGAUGACGUCAAAUCAUCAUGCCCCUUAUGGCCGGGGCUACACACGUGCUACAAUGGCGUAAACAGAGGGAGGCGAGACAGCGAUGUUAAGCGAACCCCAAAAAUAACGUCUCAGUUCGGAUUGCAGCCUGCAACUCGGCUGCAUGAAGCUGGAAUCGCUAGUAAUCGAGGAUCAGAAUGCCGCGGUGAAUACGUUCCCGGGU